rnacentral:rRNA from 1 species
GACGUAGUAGGCGAGCGUUAUCCGGAAUCACUGGGCGUAACGCGCAUGUAGGCGGCUGUACAAGUCGUGUGUUAAAGCCCCCGGCUCAACUGGGGGAGGUCAUGCGAGACUGUGCGGCUAGAGGGCAGGAGAGGCACGUGGAACUCCCGGUGUAGCGGUGGAAUGCGUAGAGAUCGGGAAGAACAUCAGUGGCGAAGGCGACGUGCUGGGCUGCACCUGACGCUGAGAUGCGAAAGUGUGGGGAGCAAAC